UGCAGUCGAGCGGAUCUUCAUUAGCUUGCUUUUGAAGAUCAGCGGCGGACGGGUGAGUAACACGUGGGCAACCUGCCUGUAAGACUGGGAUAACUUCGGGAAACCGGAGCUAAUACCGGAUAAUCCUUUCCCUCACAUGAGGGAAAGCUGAAAGACGGUUUCGGCUGUCACUUACAGAUGGGCCCGCGGCGCAUUAGCUAGUUGGUGAGGUAACGGCUCACCAAGGCAACGAUGCGUAGCCGACCUGAGAGGGUGAUCGGCCACACUGGGACUGAGACACGGCCCAGACUCCUACGGGAGGCAGCAGUAGGGAAUCUUCCGCAAUGGACGAAAGUCUGACGGAGCAACGCCGCGUGAACGAUGAAGGCUUUCGGGUCGUAAAGUUCUGUUGUCAGGGAAGAACAAGUACCGGAGUAACUGCCGGUACCUUGACGGUACCUGACCAGAAAGCCACGGCUAACUACGUGCCAGCAGCCGCGGUAAUACGUAGGUGGCAAGCGUUGUCCGGAAUUAUUGGGCGUAAAGCGCGCGCAGGCGGUUCCUUAAGUCUGAUGUGAAAGCCCCCGGCUCAACCGGGGAGGGUCAUUGGAAACUGGGGAACUUGAGUGCAGAAGAGGAGAGCGGAAUUCCACGUGUAGCGGUGAAAUGCGUAGAGAUGUGGAGGAACACCAGUGGCGAAGGCGGCUCUCUGGUCUGUAACUGACGCUGAGGCGCGAAAGCGUGGGGAGCGAACAGGAUUAGAUACCCCUGGUAGUCCACGCCGUAAAACGAUGAGUGCUAAGUGUUAGAGGGUUUCCGCCCCUUUAGUGCUGCAG
rnacentral:rRNA from 1 species